UCAAGAAAUGAACGGAUGUGACUGUUAGGAUAGUUGGGGACAUUUAAACCGGCAUUUGUAAUAUUCGUAAGCAUGUUGCCUUUACAUCAGGGUGACAAGGAGUACGCUGCUGGGUCGAAGAUCAAGCAAAAAGCAGCAGGAUGGCUGAGAUUGAUAUUCUCAGACCAGACUUCAAGAAAUCUGUUCUUUUUUAUGUUGUUGAAUCUCUCAUUUGCUUUUGUUGAACUUACAUAUGGAAUUUGGACGAACAGUUUGGGCCUCAUAUCUGAUUCCUUCCACAUGUUUUUUGACUGUACAGCCCUGCUUGCUGGCCUAGCCGCCUCAGUCAUAUCUAGAUGGCGAGCCACAGAAGCUUAUUCCUAUGGGUAUGUUCGUGCUGAAAUAGUAGCUGGGUUUGUGAAUGGACUUUUCUUACUUUUCAUUGGAUUUUUCAUCUUUUCGGAAGCUGUAGAGAGGUUGGCUGAGCCCCCAGAAGUGAAACAUGAACGACUCUUCCUGGUGUCAGUGGCUGGAUUCAUUGUCAAUCUUAUAGGAAUUUUCGCUUUUCAACAUGGACACGGCCAUUCUCAUGGUGGUGGAGGAGAUCAUGGUCACUCUCAUGGUGGACAUGGACACAGUCAUGGCUUGGGAAUGGAGUCUCACAGUGAUCAAGACAACCACGGUCACAGUCACGAUGGAGGUCAUGCUCAUGGCGAAUUAGAUUCCUCAAAAAAAGCAGCACAAUCUCAAAUCAUGCAAGGUGUAUUUUUACAUAUAUUAGCAGAUACACUAGGCAGUGUGGGAGUCAUUAUCUCCUCUGGGUUGAUACACUAUUUUGGAUGGAUGCAGGCAGAUCCUAUAUGUUCUUUAUUCAUAGCUAUUUUAAUUACAAUAAGUGUUUUGCCAUUACUUAGAGAUUCUGUCGGUAUUCUCAUGCAGAGAACACCCAGAUCAUUGGAGUCACAACUACCAUCAUGUUAUAAUAGAGUGAGUCAGUUAGAGGGAGUCUACAGUGUCCAGGAGCCUCACUUUUGGACGUUGUGCAGUGACGUCUACGUCGGAACAAUAAAGUUGGAAGUAUCAUCUAAAGCCGAUGCCAAAUAUAUUUUAAGCCAUACACAUAAUUUAUUUACACAGAUUGGAGUAAGACAGUUGUAUGUACAGAUUGAUUAUUCUGCCAUGUAGGUGUCAAGUACCAAGUGACCUUCAUCUCUAUAAACUCAUAUGACCUCUGACCCUGAGCAUCAACUCAUAUGACCUCUAACCCUGAGCAUCAAUAUAAGUUUCAUUUUAGUAUGCUGAUUCAUCAUGUGCAGUGUAAAUGAAUGUGUAAGUGGGAGUGUGAAAAAUGCUGGCAUCAAAAAGGACAACAUAAAUUCAUUAUAAACUGUAUUUGGAAGAAUGCAGUAUUUCCUAUGCCAGAUUAUCAUCAAGAUUUUUGGACUUAUGAUAAAGAUUCAUCUAUAUGCCUUGCCUGGUAAACAAUGUUGAAUUUACCCGACACAAUUCCUGUUAGUCAGAUGUAUCACCAACUUAAUACAUUUGUACUGCUCUUUGACUUAUACAUCAUAGUGUAUAAUCUUGAUUCCAAAUUAAUGAUAUGCUAAUUCAGUUUAAACAAAAAAUAAUCUUUGUUGGACUUAGUUUAAUGUCUGAUUUUAGCGAUUUUUAUAACAUUCUACAAUUUAAAAGAAACUUGUUUUUUAAGUCAAUUCUUUUGUGGUAAAUUUGUGUCAAAAUUUUCACUGACAAAUUUCACAAUUUACAAAGGGCAUGCGAGGGUUUAUGUACGUGACAAUAGCAAAUUAAACAACAUUAAAAUUCAUACUAAGGUCUAGAUUGUUUCAUGAUCAUUGUGGUUUCAUAUUUUGGCCUGAUGUAAUGGUCAAAUAAUUUCAUCUCUUGGAUAAGUUCAAUUAUUUUUCUAUAAUAUGAGCUGAUUUUUCUGUUAUCAUUUGUUAAGUGUUGCUCUGUGUUACUGAUUCUAACAAUCUUUUAAAUCUUUUGUUGUGAAAAGGAUUUGUAUUUUGUUUUGUACAUUGGUGAAAUAUUGGUUACAAUCCAAAAUAAAGCUGGAUUUUCUUAUGAUGAUUCCUCAGUGAGGUGGAAAAAUGUAACUUUCAAGCAACAAGUAUUAGGAUCAACUUUCAAAAAAUCAUGGGCAUUGAGCAGUUUUAUUCCUGUGUCUGACGAAAACCACUGUCAAUCUAAAAAACUCUGCUAAAAAUUAAAAGGAUAGAUUUUUUUGCAUCUCAAAAAAGUUAUAUCAGGAUCAUUUAAGUUAACAGCAAAUAAGCGAAAAGAUUAUAUUUGUGAUGUUAAUAUUAUUGAAACUGAAAACAAGUUUUUUUUUGUCCUUAGAUUCAUAUUCUGCAUGUUAAUACAAGUGGGAAUGAAUUUGAGAAGUUUGCUUUACCGGUAAGUUUAAUUGAACUACCCUAAUAUGAUGAAGUUUGGUACUACUGGAUCCCAGUCUGUAGAUAAAUCCACUAUAUUAUUAAUUAGGUGUAUAAUUGAGGUAAAAACAUCACCUGUACUAUCAAUACAUGUAUAGACCCUGCUACUAAGUUACUGGACAGUACUCAUUAAAAGGACAUGGGUGGUAUUGGAUGUUUUUUGGGUUUUUUUAAUACAAUGUAUGUUGGCAAAAUGUUUUCUGCUUUGAACAGCCUAAGACAGAAUGUUUGGUUACUGUACGAUAAAAGGAGGGUGUAGAAUGCUUUGGAUUUCUCCUUGCAUAUGUGGAAUGUAAACCAAAGAAUUAAUUUAUUUAUUUGAGGUAUUUAAUACAUGUAGUUAUUGUUAAAAUGUGAUAAAUCUGAUGCAUUCCAUCAAUGAAAUUGAGCAAAAGUAAGGGAUCAAAUGAAAGACAUGAUUUUAGGAAUUAUGAAUAAAAUUUUGAUAUGUACAUAAGUGAAUCUAAUUUAGAAAAUAUGGAUUACAUGUCAUUGUAGUAUUGUUUAAAAGAAAAAAAGAAAAAAAAACAUGCCCAUGAUGUGGUUGGUUGAUAUGUUUAGUGUUCUGUGUAUCUAGUAACUUAGAUACUACUGGCAGGUAAUCUGUUUGUUGAUGACAAGUCAAUUCUAUUGGUUGUACGAUUGUUAAGAAAAUUACAUUAUGAACAUCUAUUAUAUGUAUACAUAGAUGAAGCUAAAUGGGAAGAAAAAAUUAGUGGCAUCUAUCAAUGCUGUAUGAUGUAGAUGGAGAAAUCUUAGCCCAGUUUAUCUUUCUUGGUCUACAACAAGCUGAGGUAAUUAUUUUCGUCGAAUCAGAAGUAAAAUGCAGCAUUUACUUUGUGUUCCUGACAUUAAAACUUGAUGAUCUAUGAUUGUUACUCUACAGUGCAUGCCAGCUGUCGGGAAUUAAGGGCUAGACAGGGAUUUUUCACCGUCAAAAUAGAGACUACAUAGUUAGUUUCUUUAAAUACAAGGUGUAUUUAGGCAAUGUUAAGAAGUGACUAAGAUGGUGAUAUUUUUAUGUAACAGAAAUGCUGAUGUUAGGUGCCAAUCAACCUCUAUAAUGAAUAGACUCGGAUUAGACAUUUAAGAAUAUUUCCCCAGGGUUGAUAUUUUUUUGUCUUACGCCAAAGGUGGGGAGAGAUUUUCUUCAUCAUUUCCUGGAUGUUGAAGAAGGGCUUUGCUGUGUAUCCUAGUGUAAACGACUUAUCGGUUUACAUAGAGUGAAAUAUACAGAAUUUCAGGAAACAUCAGAAUUUUGUGUCAUUAGAUAUUCAAAAUGAUGUUCUAUCUAUAAAAAAAGAAGCAUUUUCAGAGAACUUGUUGGUAGGGCUGUAUUACAGCUGUAGUUUAUUUUAUUAGUUCCUACCCUCACACGUCCAGUGCUACUUUCAGGACCUUUAAUGGCUGCCUGAUAGAUAACGAAUAUUUCACUAGUAUGGCUGAAUAAGGAUCCUGCACGUGCAGUAGAGAUAUAAUCCAGACACCAACAUCCUAGAGACUGCAUUUCCAGAUGUUGGGAAACUCUAUAGGGAUCCACAAACUUCAUUCUAACUUUGUCUUUGAAAAACUGUCCUGACUAACAGGGAUCCACUGUACUAGAAGCCAUAACCUGUACAGUUAGACUUACCCUGCAAGUCGUCGUGGUCAGGGUACAGUUUUAACACGGUUUGUUACUUUAUUUGUUAAUAUUUGGUAUAAACAAAAAGACAGUUUUCAUUGUUUAUUGACCAAAACUGUUCCUAAACUGACAAACACCGAGCACAUUUUUGUUUUGCUGUAAUAUUAUUUUAGAUGUAUUACUGUACUGUAUUAUAAUUAAGAUUUCAUAGCAAGGUAUUAGGUACCCCUGUGGACUUUAUUCAUGUUCAUUUCAAAUGCAAUAUCUGACAGGUGCCAGUGUGUAAUUUUACCAUGUAACUGCCACCAUAGGAUCACCUGGUUUGUCUGGGCUGUGUGUAACAACAUUUGUGUAACUUGUGGAGCAGCUGUUCGUUGUUAUGGUAUGAGAAAGGUAUUUGAUGCAAAGCAAAUUCUGUGAUUAUGGUAUUUGUUACUUUGGCUGCAAAAGUCUCACUUUUUCUUUUAUUCCUUGUGAAUUUUGAAUUGUCUUUUACCUAAAGGAUUUUUUUCUUUGUGUACUUUUUUUUAGAUAACUAUUUUUUUUCUUAAAUCAGAAGUUUUAGUAAAACAAUCAAAAUCGUGUGGGUAGUACACUUUGUACAACUACGUGAACUUUUCAUUUGAUUGUAUAGUCUGUAAUUGUUACAUGCAGAGUGUGUGUUUGUUGUCAGUCAGACAUAAAUCACAUAUGUCAUUCAAUGAACUAUUUUCUCCGAGAGACAACAUUUCAAGCGAGGUCAUGGUCUGUUCAAACUUUCAUUGAACCAAAAUUUUUGUCACAUAAGAACUGCCAAUGGAAGGAAUGUCUUGUACAGGUAUUUCGACACUUGCCACUGAGCUUCCUGAAUGUGCAUUGCUUCACAAAAUCAUAAAAGUAGCUGUGCAAUAUGAUUUGGUUUAAAUCUAUUCAGUAUAACAUUGUUAUUGUUUUUGUUUGAUAUUUUUAACUGCCACCAUUUCAAGUUGUCAAACAGACUAUGCAACUAAUGCAUAGACUAUUAGUCAUAACUGACAAUUUCUAAUAUGUACUGUACAAUGUACAUAUGUGUGACAUGUGCUGUACACUGAACAUGUGGAAUAUAUUCUGUACAAUGUACAUAUGUGUGGCAUGUGCUGUACACUGACCAUUUUUAAUAUGUACUGUACAAUGUACAUAUGUGUGGCAUGUGCUGUACACUUACCAUUUCUAAUAUGUACUGUACAAUGUACAUAUGUGUGACAUGUGCUGUACACUGACCAUUUGUAAUAUAUUCUGUACAAUGUACAUAUGUGUGACAUGUGCUGUACACUGACCAUUUCUAAUAUAUUCUGUACAAUGUACAUAUGUGUGACAUGUGCUGUACACUGACCAUUUCUAAUAUGUAAUGUACAAUGUACAUAUGUGUGACAUGUGCUGUACACUGACCAUUUCUAAUAUGUAAUGUACAAUGUACAUAUGUGUGACAUGUGCUGUACACUGACCAUUUCUAAUAUAUUAUGUACAAUGUACAUAUGUGUGACAUGUGCUGUACACUGACCAUUUCUAAUAUAUUCUGUACA
rnacentral:misc_RNA from 1 species